rnacentral:rRNA from 1 species
UACGUAGGCAGCAAGCGUUGUUCGGAGUUACUGGGCGUAAAGAGUGCGUAGGCGGUCCUGUAAGUUUGGUGUGAAAUCUCCCGGCUCAACUGGGAGGGUGCGCCGAAGACUGCAGGGCUUGAGUAUGGGAGAGGUAAGCGGAAUUCCCGGUGUAGAGGUGAAAUUCGUAGAUAUCGGGAGGAACACCAGUGGCGAAGGCGGCGAUCUGGGAAGAUACUGACGCUGAGGUGCGAAAGCGUGGGGAGCAAACAGG